rnacentral:rRNA from 1 species
CGUACGGGUGAGUAACACGUGGGUAUCUACCUCUUAGUGGGGAAUAACCCUGGGAAACCGGGGCUAAUACCGCAUAAGCUCGAGAGAGGAAAGCAGCAAUGCGCUGAGAGAGGAACCCGCGGCCGAUUAGCUAGUUGGCAGGGUAAAAGCCUACCAAGGCAAAGAUCGGUAGCCGGCCUGAGAGGGCACACGGCCACACUGGCACUGAAACACGGGCCAGACUCCUACGGGAGGCAGCAGUGGGGAAUCUUGCACAAUGGGGGAAACCCUGAUGCAGCGACGCCGCGUGAGCGAUGAAGCCCUUCGGGGUGUAAAGCUCUUUCGUCAGGGAAGAUGAUGACGGUACCUGGAGAAGCAGCUGCGGCUAACUACGUGCCAGCAGCCGCGGUAAUACGUAGGCAGCAAGCGUUGUUCGGAGUUACUGGGCGUAAAGGGUGUGUAGGCGGUUCUUUAAGUUUGGUGUGAAAUCUCCCGGCUCAACCGGGAGGGUGCGCCGAAUACUGAGGGACUUGGAGUGCGGGAGAGGAAAGUGGAAUUCCUGGUGUAGCGGUGAAAUGCGUAGAUAUCAGGAGGAACACCGGUGGUGUAGACGGCUUUCUGGACCGUAACUGACGCUGAGACACGAAAGCGUGGGUAGCAAACAGGAUUAGAUACCCUGGUAGUCCACGCCCUAAACGAUGCAUAUUUGGUGUGGGUCAUUCAGUUGAUCCGUGCCGGAGCUAACGCGUUAAAUAUGCCGCCUGGGGAGUACAGUCGCAAGGCUGAAACUCAAAGGAAUUGACGGGGGCCCGCACAAGCGGUGGAGCAUGUGGUUCAAUU